UACGGGGGGGGCAAGCGUUGUUCGGAAUUACUGGGCGUAAAGGGCUCGUAGGCGGCCUUCUAAGUCAGACGUGAAAUCCCCCGGCUUAACCUGGGAACUGCGUCUGAUACUGGGAGGCUUGAGUAUGGAGAGGAGUGUAGAAUUCCAGGUGUAGCGGUGAAAUGCGUAGAUAUCUGGAGGAAUACCGGUGGCGAAGGCGGCAUCCUGGACCAUUACUGACGCUGAGGCGCGAAAGCUAGGGGAGCAAACGGG
rnacentral:rRNA from 1 species